CUGUAGGUACUGAUCUGUACUAUACUCUAAUGUACUAUACUCACUCUAUAGGUACUGAUCUGUACUAUACUCCCUCUGUAGGUACUGAUCUGUACUAUACUCUAAUGUACUAUACUCCCUCUGUAGGUACUGAUCUGUACUAUACUCCCUCUGUAGGUGCUGAUCCGUACUAUACUCUAAUGUACUAUACUCACUCUGUAGGUACUGAUCUGUACUAUACUCUAAUGUACUAUACUCACUCUGUAGGUACUGAUCUGUACUAUACUCUAAUGUACUAUACUCCCUCUGUAGGUACUGAUCCGUACUAUACUCUAAUGUACUAUACUCCCUCUGUAGGUACUGAUCUGUACUAUACUCCCUCUGUAGGUGCUGAUCCGUACUAUACUCUAAUGUACUAUACUCACUCUGUAGGUACUGAUCUGUACUAUACUCUAAUGUACUAUACUCACUCUGUAGGUACUGAUCCGUACUAUACUCUAAUGUAC